UUUCUGCCACCGAAUACAUUAGCAUGGGAUAAUGGAAUAGGACCCUGUCCUCCUAUUUUCAGUUGGUUUUGGCACGCGAGGACCAGGGUAAUGAUUAAUAGGGAUAGUUGGGGGCAUUAAUAUUUAAUUGUCAGAGGUGAAAUUCUUGGAUUUAUGAAAGAUUAACUUCUGCGAAAGCAUCUGCCAAGGAUGUUUUCAUUAAUCAAGAACGAAAGUUAGGGGAUCGAAGACGAUCAGAUACCGUCGUAGUCUUAACCAUAAACGAUGCCGACCAGCGAUUAGGAGACGUUGAAUACAAAACACCACCAUCGGUGCGGUCGUCCUUGGCGCGUCGYGGCUUGCYGCGGCGUGCGAGGGCGGUUUAGCCUGAUGGCAUCGGUGAAUGACUCCCCUAG
rnacentral:rRNA from 1 species